UACGUAGGGUGCAAGCGUUGUCCGGAAUUAUUGGGCGUAAAGAGCUCGUAGGCGGUUUGUCGCGUCGGCUGUGAAAACCUGGGGCUCAACCCCGGGCCUGCAGCCGAUACGGGCAAACUAGAAUUCGGUAGGGGAGACUGGAAUUCCUGAUGUAGCGGUGAAAUGCGCAGAUAUCAGGAGGAACACCGGUGGCGAAGGCGGGUCUCUGGGCCGAUAUUGACGCUGAGGAGCGAAAGCGUGGGGAGCAAACAGG
rnacentral:rRNA from 1 species